rnacentral:snRNA from 1 species
AUGUUUUUUGUUUUGCCAAUAUAAAUGUUAAAAAUAGAAUAAUACAGAGAAACUUAGCAUGGGUCCUGUGCAAAAUGCCAUGUAAAAUCACCAAGCAUUGUUCAACAUGUUU